rnacentral:rRNA from 1 species
UACGUAGGGUGCAAGCGUUAAUCGGAAUUACUGGGCGUAAAGCGUGCGCAGGCGGUUAUGCAAGACAGAUGUGAAAUCCCCGGGCUCAACCUGGGAACUGCAUUUGUGACUGCAUAGCUAGAGUGCGGCAGAGGGAGAUGGAAUUCCGCGUGUAGCAGUGAAAUGCGCAGAUAUCAGGAAGAACACCCGUGGCUAAGGCGGCUCUCUAGUACGGUACUGACGCUGAGACGCGAAAGCGUGGGGAGCGAACAGG